rnacentral:rRNA from 1 species
AUGUAUGUAUACGCGCCCUGCGUACGGACUGUCUGGCACUGUGAUUUUUUUACUGGUAAUUUGUGGUACUCUACAAACUUACGUUCCAAGUUCCAACUACCUAGUGGUGCGGUUGUGCUUGUGCUUCCUCACCUCAGCAAGUUUGUAAAAUGUCCCAAGUUCCAAGUUCUGACCGAAGAAAACAGGUUCCAACUCUUUUUUUCAUUGCAGGAAAAAACAGGGUCCAACUACCUAGUGGUAAUUAGGAGCUGGAAUCGUUCUUUUCCAGUACUUAGGGCCUGUUCGGCCUUCCGCCAGCUCCGCGGAUCUGCGGAGCGCGUAUAUCCCAGCUCCACCUUCUCAGCCUGCAGCUCCGCCGGCUCCGCGAGCUGA